UUUUGGACAUAUUUAAGCAAGGAACAUAAUUUGAAAAUACAUCCAAAGAACAUUCAAGCAUAUCCAAGCAAAGAAAAAGAUACCUAAGAAAAAGAAAAAUGAAGGAGAACCUCAAGAGCAUUCAAUUCUACCUUCAAAUAUUUAAAUCUUCAGAAGAAAAAGAGCUUGAGUGCAUUCAUUUUGUGAUCUAUUUGUUAAGCAGUUCUUUAAAGUUUUCCUUCAAGCUUGUCUUAAGUAAUUAAGGAGAAAGUCAUUGCAUU
rnacentral:lncRNA from 1 species